UACGUAUGGAGCAAGCGUUAUCCGGAUUUACUGGGUGUAAAGGGAGCGCAGGCGGUCUGGCAAGUCUGAUGUGAAAGGCCGGGGCUCAACCCCGGGACUGCAUUGGAAACUGUCAGACUGGAGUGUCGGAGAGGUAAGCGGAAUUCCUAGUGUAGCGGUGAAAUGCGUAGAUAUUAGGAGGAACACCAGUGGCGAAGGCGGCUUACUGGACUGUAACUGACGUUGAGGCUCGAAAGCGUGGGGAGCAAACAGG
rnacentral:rRNA from 1 species